UCGUGAAAUCNUCUGGCUUAACUGGGGGCUUGCGGUGGGUACGGNCCGGCUUGAGUGCGGUAGGGGAGGCUGGAACUCCUGGUGUAGCGGUGGAAUGCGCAGAUAUCAGGAAGAACACCGGUGGCGAAGGCGGGUCUCUGGGCCGUUACUGACGCUGAGGAGCGAAAGCGUGGGGAGCGAACAGGAUUAGAUACCCUGGUAGUNCACGCCGUAAACGUUGGGCACUAGGUGUGGGGGGCCUUUUCCGGGUUUUCCGCGCCGUAGCUAACGCAUUAAGUGCCCCGCCUGGGGAGUACGGCCGCAAGGCUAAAACUCAAAGGAAUUGACGGGGGCCCGCACAAGCGGCGGAGCAUGCGGAUUAAUUCGAUGCAACGCGAAGAACCUUACCAAGGCUUGACAUGUGCCGGUCGGCUCCGGAGACGGGGUUUCCUCCUUGUGGGGCCGGUUCUCAGGUGGUGCAUGGUUGUCGUCAGCUCGUGUCGUGAGAUGUUGGGUUAAGUCCCGCAACGAGCGCGACCCUUGUCUCGUGUCGCCAGCACGUUGUGGUGGGGACUCGCGGGAGACUGCCGGGGUCAACUCGGAGGAAGGUGGGGAUGACGUCAAAUCAUCAUGCCCCUUAUGUCUUGGGCUUCACGCAUGCUACAAUGGCCGGUACAGAGGGCUGCGAUACUGUGAGGUGGAGCGAAUCCCUUAAAGCCGGUCUCAGUUCGGAUCGGUGUCUGCAACUCGACACCGUGAAGUCGGAGUCGCUAGUAAUCGCAGAUCAGCAACGCUGCGGUGAAUACGUUCUCGGGCCUUGCACACACCGCCCGUCACGUCAUGAAAGUCGGCAACACCCGAAGCCCGUGGCCUUAU
rnacentral:rRNA from 1 species